UUAAGUGAUAAUUGCCUAGGAGAUACACCUGUUCUCAUGCCGAACACAGAAGUUAAGCCCUAGAACGCCGGAAGUAGUUGGGGGUUGCCCCCU
rnacentral:rRNA from 1 species